UUAAAAACAAUAAGUACUUACUACUAAUUUUUUCAGAUUUUUUCGUAAGGUGCUCUUUAAAAAUUCUAAAAACUUGUUUUUUAGGGGGUUUUGGGGAUUUUCCCAUUUUGUACACUUUAAAACGGAUUAAAUUCAUUUUUUUACGUUCUAUGUGAAUAAAAAUAACACUCAGCGCAAUUUUAACCCUCCACUCCCCGUACCACCAAAAACGUUAUUUUUUCGUUUUUAAUUUUUUAGGUGGGAUGCAAUUAAUUUAAAAAUUUCAAAAAAUUCACAUGUAUAUUUGAGGCUUUCACAAAACAGGUGAAUGUUUUUUUUUUUUUGAAAAAUGCGUAUAACUUUUUUUGGAGAGUGUUGGCAAUUUUUUUGUAUUUUGUGUAUUUUAUCAAAAACUAUACAUAUUCCUAAUUGUUUCCGAUUUUCCGUAAGGACCGCCAACUUAAAAAAUCCAAAAACUGGUUUUUAGGGGGUUUUUGGAGAUUUUUCCCAUUUUAGAGACUUCAAAAAAGGGCAAAUCAAGGAUUUUUUAUAGGUUAUAUAAUUAUAUUAUAAUUUAAAUUAUAUCAGUCUUGGUACAUUCAAAAAUGCGAGAAACACGUUCAAACCCCCCAAAACGGUAGGUUUUUUUGGGGGUUUGAAUGUGUUUCUCCAAUUUUUGAAUGUUCCAAAGAACUGAGUUGAAUUCUUUAAAAUUUUGAUUUUAAACUCAUCAUAUUAUGUAAAAAAGUAAAAAAAAAAUUAUUGAUUUCAGGUAAAAAUCUUAUACAGUGAUAUUUGAAGGUUUUAAAGUACAGAUAAGAUACAGGUAGGUAUAUGAGUAGUAGUUGAUGAAAAAUUCGUGAUGUAGCUGAUUUUGCUGUUUUAACAGUUUUAAAAAUUGAAAAAAAUAUUUUUUGCCUAUCUAUAGAAUGUUUCUUAUACAUUUUCGAGAAAAAUUGUUCAAAUACAAAUUGCAGAUCAAAAAAGUUCUGUAGUUCCUUUCUCAAGUACAAAAUCAAAUGGACUAUAUAAAAGUUCAAAUUCCUGUAUCAAAAUUUUUAAAAUUUAGAGAUGUUUGUGGGAUGGAGUAUUGUCAUCGAACAUAGAAACACCCUGUGCAAGGGGUCUGAUUAUUUAUUCGUUAAGGUAGAACAAUUAAAAAUAAAAUUUGAAUAAGAAUAAUUAAUUAAACUGUAUCAGCAAAAUUCACGGUUUUCUCGUGAAUGAUUACUUAAUUAGAUUUCACGAUAUUGUUCUCAACUUUCACCACGGUACUAAUUUAUUGAUGUUUAUGGAAUCUCUAUAUAAAUACUCACCUCCGCUGUCAAAAUUCCUCGGACUGUUAUUCCAACUUGCGGUUCAAUUUUCACAGUCACACCUGGUUCAAUCACCAAUUCAGCGCCAAAUUCAACUAUGAGGUCAUUCCUCAACCAAUAAGGACUUUUAGAUUUACUAAAAAAUAUUUUAUCAUUUACCACAGUCCCGCCAGGAUGUUCCGUCAAGGUAUCAGUACUUGGUUGUAAGUAAACAAAUUUGAAACAAGACAAUAAGGCUAAAGGUAGUAACGUCCUUUUGAAUUUACACAUUUUGGAUCAAACGAUGAGCACUAUCAUAUCACUAGAUUGAUUAAAAGUUUGAAAAUCGCGUUGUUUUUUGUUUCUAUUUACGAAAAAUCACAGAUUCUUGAACACAAACAAUGCCUGCAACGGUGUUAUUUCGAAAUACCUCGCAUUCUUCACCACUGCAUCAGUCGUAUUAAAAUUUGAUCCUGUCAGGUACCCAAAAACUUAAAUCACAAUCGAAUUUGAUCACAAAAACGUUAUAUCGACGAUUAAAAACCCCCUUUGUGGUGCAUUUUCCGUUCGUUUUUGUUGCACUUUAGGGGAGGACGGAAGGUGCGGUUAUACUAGUUUUUUACGUUAAAACUUCUGUCACGUGACGUAAUGCAGCCAGGUAACCCCCACUCACCUGUGGGCCAGGUAGAGUGGUAGAACAGGUGUGAUUGUGUUUUGUUUCUCCGCUAGAUAGCGAUAUGUACCGGUCAGAGUUCUAGCGAUCUGUAGCGAAGUAUCGCUGCGUUGCAACUGUUCACCAACGGCGACUUGAUUGAAAAUUUCUUGACUUCUUCACCGUGCGUUCUUUCUUUGAUAUAAUUUCACUGGCGCAUAGGUCCAGUGCAUUAAUUUGGCGUAGGUGGAAACUAAUUAGGAGGUAAUUGACGUUAAUAGUACCGAGAUCAACUACUUACUAUAAGCGUUCUUGAUACUUAUUCACAGUUCAAUUGCUGAACACACCUAUUGAUGUACCGUGUAUGGGAUUCUGUCUAUAAAAAAUGCACCUACAAUUGAUAUUAAAAAAAAUUGUUAAAUGACAAACACACCUUUAGGUAUGCUUCUGCUUCCUGCUAGGAUGCCCAACACACCUAUAGAUACGUAUGCUGGGUAUGGGUUUUUUAUAUAAAAAAAAAAUGUUGGUACCAACCAUAAAAUAUUUUGUUUUCAGCAAUUAACCUGUUAGUCAAUAAAUAAAUAGUGUUACUGUGUUUAUAAUAAAAAAAGGACAUAGUAUUUCCUCAAGUUGUAAAAAACCUCAGAUUUACACAGACUAACCCUUUUCGUGUACACUAUCCACUAUGUAGUAUUUGUACCAUAUAAAAAAAUGAAUUGGA
rnacentral:lncRNA from 1 species